rnacentral:rRNA from 1 species
UACGUAGGGGGCUAGCGUUGUCCGGAAUCAUUGGGCGUAAAGAGCGUGUAGGCGGUCCGGUAAGUCAGCUGUGAAAGUCAAGGGCUCAACCCUUGAAUGCCGGUUGAUACUGUCGGGCUAGAGUCCGGAAGAGGCGAGUGGAAUUCCCGGUGUAGCGGUGGAAUGCGUAGAGAUCGGGAAGAACAUCAGUGGCGAAGGCGGUCUGCUGGGCCGUUGCUGACGCUGAGGCGCGACAGCGUGGGGAGCAAACAGG